rnacentral:rRNA from 1 species
UACGUAGGGUGCAAGCGUUGUCCGGAAUUAUUGGGCGUAAAGAGCUCGUAGGCGGUUUGUCGCGUCGGCUGUGAAAACCUGGGGCUCAACCCCGGGCCUGCAGCCGAUACGGGCAAACUAGAAUUCGGUAGGGGAGACUGGAAUUCCUGGUGUAGCGGUGAAAUGCGCAGAUAUCAGGAGGAACACCGGUGGCGAAGGCGGGUCUCUGGGCCGAUAUUGACGCUGAGACGCGAAAGCGUGGGGAGCGAACAGG